CCUACGGGUGGCAGCAGUGAGGAAUAUUGGUCAAUGGGCGGAAGCCUGAACCAGCCAAGUAGCGUGCAGGAUGACGGCCCUACGGGUUGUAAACUGCUUUUAUACGGGAAUAACGCGCCUUACGUGUAGGGCUUUGCAUGUACCGUAUGAAUAAGGACCGGCUAAUUCCGUGCCAGCAGCCGCGGUAAUACGGAAGGUACGGGCGUUAUCCGGAUUUAUUGGGUUUAAAGGGAGCGUAGGUGGAAUGUUAAGUGUGCUGUGAAAGGUUGCGGCUCAACCGGGGCCUUGCAGUGGAAACUGGCGGUCUUGAGUCCGGGGGAGGCAGGCGGAAUUCGUGGUGUAGCGGUGAAAUGCUUAGAUAUGACGAAGAACCCCGAUUGCGAAGGCAGCUGGCUGCAGUGGAACUGACGCUGAGGCUCGAAAGCGUGGGUAUCGAACAGGAUUAGAUACCCCUGUAGUC
rnacentral:rRNA from 1 species